AUUGAACGCUGGCGGCAUGCCUAACACAUGCAAGUCGAGCGGAGCUGCGGACGGGUGAGUAAUGCCUAGUAAUCUGCCUGUUAGUGAGGGAUAACGUCCGGAGACGGGCUCUAAUACCGCAUGCUAUCAGAUGAGCCUAGGUCGGAUUAGCUAGUUGGUGGGGUAAAGGCCUACCAAGGCGACGAUCCGUAACUGGUCUGAGAGGAUGAUCAGUUACAAUGGAACUGAGACACGGUCCAGACUCCUACGGGAGGAAGGGGUGGGGAAUAUUGGAAAAUGGGCGAAAGCCUGAUCCAACCAGGCCGGGUGGGUGAAGAAGUUUUGCGGAUUGUAAAGCACUUUAAGUUGGGAGGCGUUACCAACAGAAUAAGCACCGGCUAACUCCGUGCAAGCAGCGGGGGAAUUU
rnacentral:rRNA from 1 species